GAGAGUUUGAUCAUGGCUCAGGACGAACGCUGGCGGCGUGCCUAAUACAUGCAAGUAGAACGCUGAAGGAGGAGCUUGCUCUUCUGGAUGAGUUGCGAACGGGUGAGUAACGCGUAGGUAACCUGCCUGGUAGCGGGGGAUAACUAUUGGAAACGAUAGCUAAUACCGCAUAAUAGUAGAUGUUGCAUGACAUUUGCUUAAAAGGUGCAAUUGCAUCACUACCAGAUGGACCUGCGUUGUAUUAGCUAGUUGGUGGGGUAACGGCUCACCAAGGCGACGAUACAUAGCCGACCUGAGAGGGUGAUCGGCCACACUGGGACUGAGACACGGCCCAGACUCCUACGGGAGGCAGCAGUAGGGAAUCUUCGGCAAUGGACGAAAGUCUGACCGAGCAACGCCGCGUGAGUGAAGAAGGUUUUCGGAUCGUAAAGCUCUGUUGUAAGAGAAGAACGAGUGUGAGAGUGGAAAGUUCACACUGUGACGGUAUCUUACCAGAAAGGGACGGCUAACUACGUGCCAGCAGCCGCGGUAAUACGUAGGUCCCGAGCGUUGUCCGGAUUUAUUGGGCGUAAAGCGAGCGCAGCGGUUAGAUAAGUCUGAAGUUAAAGGCUGUGGCUUAACCAUAGUACGCUUUGGAAACUGUUUAACUUGAGUGCAAGAGGGGAGAGUGGAAUUCCAUGUGUAGCGGUGAAAUGCGUAGAUAUAUGGAGGAACACCGGUGGCGAAAGCGGCUCUCUGGCUUGUAACUGACGCUGAGCUCGAAAGCGUGGGGAGCAAACAGAUUAGAUACCCUGGUAGUCCACGCCGUAACGAUGAGUGCUAGUGUUAGACCUUCCAGGGUUUAGUGGCGUAGCUAACGCAUAAGCACUCGCCUGGGGAGUACGACGCAAGGUGAACUCAAGGAUGACGGGGCCGCACAGCGGUGGAGCAUGUGUAAUUCGAGCAACGCGAGACCUUACCAGGUCUGACUCUUGACGUUUAAGAAUGAGUUCUCGUAGAGGUACGUGGCAUGAUGCUCAGCGUCUGAGUUAGUAGUCGACAGCAUCAUGAUGCAACUAUGACUACGAUCGACUAAUCGAAGUGUUAGUCAAUACAUUGGCCCGUA
rnacentral:rRNA from 1 species